CUUGGGAGGGGCAAAAUCCCCAAUAUGUGUUAAUGAUAACUGAAAUUUUAAGAAAUUAUAUAACUUUCAAAAUAAUCCAGUUUACAGAAUAAUUUCAGCCCACAUCUCUACUCAGUUGCCUGCUGAUUGUGCCAUUCUUUAGAACCAAGGAUCUUCAACUGUGGAGUAAGUCAGCAUCACCUGACAAUGUUUGUUAAAGCCCAGAAUGCUGGUCCUACUCACGGAGUUUCCCAAACAAUGUGGAUGCUACUGGUUCAGGGGCCAUUCUUUGCAAAGCACUGCUAUGGAGUAAAACAAACUAAAUGAAAACUUACUGUCAAUGUGUUUAAAUUCCAAGGUUGAAGAACAAUGUGUGUAUGUGGGAAAUUUUUUUUAUAUGGCUUUACCUUUUUUAAAACCUUUUCUCUCCUAAUAUGGUUUUGGCAUCCAAAUUACCUCCACAUGUCAGUGGAAACAUAAUUAACCGUGCCCCCCCCCCCAUCUAAUUGGAAUGGUUGAUUUCUUAAGAGACAUAAACAUUUGUUUAUAAUUUGUGGUUUAUUUAUCUUCAUGUAUAAUCAAAUCAUCUUUACACUGGAAUAAUCUGACAUGAGAAGAGGAAAAGUCUGUCAUUUAAAAGUAGAAAUUAAAGACAUUGUCAGGAUACUAAAAAAUCUUUCUUGUUGUUUUAAUAUAAAUUCAUCUUAGAGAAAUACUGAUGAUCUAGUUGAUGUAGCCAUUUACUUAGCUAUAAGGGAUUAUUUAAUAUGGCAGGAGCAUGAGAAGUUUUUUCCACUUAGGGCCUUUUCUAGAAGAAAUAAAUACGUUUGGAUUUUACUGUUUAUGUUACAAACGCAGUGGGCACAGGGAAAGAAGUGAGCUUCCAUAGUGUUUUAGGCAGCAUUUAACAGAAAGAGACUGUAUACACUGGCACUGUACAGUUAGAUUAAAUUCUGCAGAAGUGAGAUACAAUGCAAGGUCAUAGCCUACAGUUUAACCAAGUUCUGCCCUGAAAUCAGAAGAUGGUCUUGACAAAGAUAGUAGGUGAACAGGCAGAAAGCAUUUUCAUAAAGCCACAAAACUGACCUCACUAUGUGGAAUGUAACAAUUCUGUGUAGGAGCAGGGUUCAGGAGGAGAGGAUGCAUAAACUGUACUGGCUUCUAAUAUGGUUAAUAUGUUAAACAUGGAUAAAUUUGCUUAUGGAACUGUCCCCAGUUUGUUGUUGUAGUAAAUGGCAUAAAAGCCAAGCAAGUAACCUGUGACUCACAUGGCAACAUGAAUAGAAUAUCUAUUUUUCAUUUGACUACCACCCCAACUCAGGAAUGCAUUAUAAAUAAGCAAUCCUCCUAAAGCAGUUGGUUUAACUACAGCUGGAUUUUCAUUAAGACUGGUUUUGACUGCUGAAUACACAAUACAGUAUACAGAUGAUGUAUUAUGGAAUUGUACACUUGGAACCUCUAUAAUUUUAUAACCAGUGUCACUGCAGUAAAUUCAAAUUAAUUUUAUAAAAAGUAUGCUAACAGAUGGGCAAAAAGGACUGUUUAAGAUAUAGAUUCAAGAUGGCAACAAUGGUAGAACACUGGAACUCACCUCCUUCUACAAGCAACUAAAUAUACACAUACAUAGAGAGCAGUUACUCCUGAGAGACGAGUGCUGAAUGAACAGCUUCUGACCAACAAACUAGAAAAAGAGACCAAAUGGAAAAAACUGGGAAACAGGAAGCUCUCCGGCAGCUAUGGAAAUGUCUGGGCCAGGGGCCUAGUGAGCACCAUUGCUUAAAUUUCAUACCACUUCCCACCCCACAGCUCCAUUUGGUGGCCAGGAGCUAUAUUCAAGUGCUCUGGCCCAACUGCAAGGUACCACACCGUAUUCCCUGACACGUCACUUGAGCUCUUUCAGCUCCAGACAAAGUUGCUUCACCUGGCCUCCCCACCUAGAGCUGCUCUAGCACUAUAGGCGAGGGCCCUGGACACCGUAGGCUCUUGUUUGCUCCAGCUGGCCUGCCAAAACCACCCAGCAGACACACCCUACAGAGAGGUAUUUCUAUACAAGGCCACUGCUUUCAUGACUGGGAGAGAUGGCUAUUUUGUCUUUAUAUAACAAAAUAGAAAAUCAAACUAAACGAAAAAAUCAGAAUAAUACCUCUCAGAUGAAGGAAUAAGAAAAAUCUCCAGAAGAAAAUUCUAAGGACAUGGAGGCAAGUAAUUUUCCAGUAGCCAAUUCAAAGAACCAAUCAUAAGGAUGCUCACCAACUUGAGAGUGAAAUGAGGAAUUUACAGAGCACUUCAACAAAAAACUUAGAAAGCAUAACAAAGAACCAGGUAGAACUGAAGAACACAAUAAUUAAAAUGAAAAUACAUAAAUAAUAGGUUAGCUUAUACAGAGAAUGAAUCAGUGACCUGGAAAACAGACUAGUGGAAAUUGAUCAGGAACAGUAAAAAGAAAAAAGAUUUUAAAAAACAAAAGAUAGUUUAAAGAACCUCUGGGAUAACAUCAAGCACAUAGACAUUUACAUUUAUAGAGGUCCCAGAAGGAAAGGAAAGAACAGAAACUUUAUUUAAAGAAAUAACAGCUGAAAACUUUCCUAACCUGCAAAAGGAAAUACACAUCCAGGUUCAGGAGCGCAGAGAAUUCCAAAUAAGAUAAAACCAAAGAGACCCACACAAAGACAUAUAGUAAUUAUAUUGGCAAAGUAUAAAGUGACAGUCUUAAAAAAGGAAACAACUUAUACAAAGGAAACCCCAAAAGGCUGAUUUCUCAGCCUCAACUUUCCAGACCAGGAGGAGUGGCAAGACAUAUUUAAAGUACUGAAAGAAAGGAACCUAUGAACCUACAACCUAUAAUAAUUUUACCCAGCAAGGUAAUUCAGAACUGAAGAUGAGAAGAGUUUCCCGACAAACAGAAAAUACAGGAAUUCAUCACCAUAAACCAGUCUACAAGAAAUGUUAUAGGGUCUUCUUUAAGUAAAAAGGAAAGACACUAACCAGAAAUAAGAAAAUACGAGAAAAGAAAAAUAUCACAGGUAAAGCCAAAUAGUUAAUAAAUGUAGCAAAUCAGACAUUUAAAAGCUACUGCCUUUUGGUCAAAAAAUAAAAGUGCCAAACUCAACUCAAACUACAAUAAGUAGUUCAAAGAUACAUAACACAAAAACAUCUAAAAUAUGACAUCAAAAACUUAAAGCAUGGAGAGGGGUAUACACAUAUAGUCCUUUUAGAGUAUAUUCAGAUUUAAAUAUCUAUCAGCUUAAAAUAAACUGCUAUACAUAUAGAAUGAUAUACAUAAACCUAAUGGCAACCACAAACCAAAAACCUACAAAAGACACAAAGAAUAAAGAGAACAGAAC